GACGAACGCUGGCGGCGUGCCUAAUACAUGCAAGUCGAACGAGAGCGACCGGUGCUUGCACUGGUCAAUCUAGUGGCGAACGGGUGAGUAACACGUGGGUAACCUGCCCAUCAGAGGGGGAUAACAUUCGGAAACGGAUGCUAACACCGCAUAGGUCUUCGAACCGCAUGGUUUGAAGAGGAAAAGGGGCGCAAGCUUCUGCUGAUGGAUGGACCCGCGGUGCAUUAGCUAGUUGGUGAGGUAACGGCUCACCAAGGCCGUGAUGCAUAGCCGACCUGAGAGGGUGAUCGGCCACAUUGGGACUGAGACACGGCCCAAACUCCUACGGGAGGCAGCAGUAGGGAAUCUUCCGCAAUGGACGCAAGUCUGACGGAGCAACGCCGCGUGAGUGAAGAAGGUUUUCGGAUCGUAAAACUCUGUUGUUAGAGAAGAAUAAGUGCUAGAGUAACUGUUAGCGCCUUGACGGUAUCUAACCAGAAAGCCACGGCUAACUACGUG
rnacentral:rRNA from 1 species